CUGUCAGCUAACACAGGUGUAAGGCCUAUAAAAGGUAGCCCCUAUAUUGUGUAAACAGUGAACUAUUACAGUUAAAAGCUAAGUCAUUUGUACAGAAGACUGCAUUAAUCAUGCUAAAAUAUUUCCUUUUCAUUUUUUUUUUGUGUGGAAAUACUCUGAAAAAACAGCUUUCUGUAAGGAUUUUAAACUGACUGGACUGCAGAUCAUGCACUUGUGGAGUUCACAGUCCUGAAGGAUAUGGGUCAUGCAAAGAACAAAUUUUAGGAAAACAGACUUCCAGCUGCUCAAGAAGUUAGUUAGUAGGACUACUAGGGAAACUGCCCUCAGGGACAAGGUUAAAAAAAAAUUUUAAGGAUGCUUUCCACGGAGCACAAACACUAGCAAUCCCAAAAUGAAAAAAAGCAAGAGAAAGCGAGUAACCAGCAUGAGUGAGUGGCGACCUGCUGGUCAGAGUAAAGCAUAAGAAGGAAAUGCACAAAUUGCAGUGGAAGCAGGCACAGGUAUCCUGGGAAGUCUAUAGGGACUCUGUCCAGUUGUGUAGAGAUGAGAACAGGAAGGUUAAGGGCCAGAUGGAGCUGAACUUUGGAGGGGAUGAAGAGAGGGCCAAGGGCUUCUACAGAUAUGUCAGCCAGAAAAGAAAGGCCCAGGAGAGACUGCCUUCUGUGAUAAACAAGGCUGGCAAACUCCAUGACAGGGCAGAGGUACUCAACAAGUGUUUUGCCUUAGUCUUCACUGGCAACUGUGAAGACUUCACUGUCUUCCCACACCUCUCAAGUAGAAGGACCACUAGGACUGGAGGAGCAAACUCCCUCCUGGUGUGAGAGAAUAUCAGGUUUGUGAGCACCUGAGGAACCUGGAUAUGCACAAAUCUAUUGCACCUGAUGAGAUGAAGCCCUGAGUCCUGAGGGAAUUGACUGAUGUGGUUGCCAAGCAACUCUCCAUGCUAUUUGAAAAGUCAAGGCAGUCAGAUGACUAUGACCUGUCAACACCAUCUCUGCCUGGGAAAGUCAUGGAACAGAUCUUCCUGGAAGGUAUGCUAAAGCAUGUGGAGAAGAGGGAGGUGAUUCAAGGCCUGCAUGGUUUCACCAAGAGCAAGUUCUGUCUGAGCAGCCUAGUGCUCUUCUCUGAUGGAGUGACCACAUUAGGGGAUGAGAGAGAAGCUAUGGAUGCCAUCAACCCCUUCUUGUAUUUUUGAUUUUGUGGGAUUUGCAUCAAAUUCAGUGAAUGAGAAAGGAGAUAUGACAAGUUCUUCCAGAUGUCUCCAGUAAUCUUCCAGAAACAGCAGCAUUUGAAAGUACAGCUAAGAGGCAAAACUCCAAUCCCAAACCAAAUGAAAGACAAGAUUGCCUGGUUUAGCACUUGAACUGGAUAUUCUUUCCAGAUUUGCAUUAAACACAGUUAGUAGUCCUGGUGAAGUAGAAAAUA